AACUGGUAUUAAAAUAUCCUAGAGCAUAUCGUUACAUUCCCUAUUAUUCUUUUUAACCUCAAAUUGUUAUUUCUUUUAAUAAUAAAGAAAAAAAUAAAAGAAGCUCUAUCGAGUUGAGCACAUAUUUUGGUUUAGGUACCUACUCGUUAGUAAAUUUUAUGUUAAAAAACAAUUAUCUUAGCUUAAAGAAAUUACGCUUAAUACUUAUAAAAUACUUUAGUAAUAAUGUAAAUUCAACACGAGGUGAAUAAACAACCAUCAAUGAAGCUUUGUAUUUUAACAACUGCAUGAUGCAAGAGGAUUACUUUAAACAACAUAUUUGCUGUAAAAUGAAUUCAAAGAAAUGACGUAUUAUCAUGAGGUCACUGGAAAAAUAACCAGACGGCUUGUCGCAGCUGCUUUUCUGCGUCAAAUUUAUGACGCAAGAGUUCUUUAGGUAAACAGAUAACAAGAUUAAUAUCAUUUAAAAGGGUGGCAAAAUAAAAUCCGUCAACCAUUUCGCAACGUUCACUGGAGAGACUCUGAAUUAAUUGUUUUGAUAUAUUCGCAAAAUCUUUUCAAAUUCAAUUAAAAUAUAUUCGUUUAGAAAAUAAUCGAAAAUGAAACUGAUAGCGUUAGUGUUUGUUUUUGUAUUCUUCGCAAGUGUUUUUGGGAGGAAUAUUCAUCCCGGUUAUGAAACUACUUGGGAGGACAUAGAAAAUGGAGACGUUAUACCUAUGAACGUACUUUUCAAUGUGAAGCUAAACCGAUUUGUGCCCGUGAACAAUCCUCUCUUUUUCAAAUUCUCCGAACCAUGUCAAAACGGAUUCAAGAGAGAUGCAAGGGGUAUUUGCCGAGAUGUAUGGGAUUGAAUGUAAUAACUUCGUAAUGUAAUACGUAUAUUAUGUUUUGUUAAAAAAUAUCACAAAUGAUUGUCGAAUUAAAUUGCAUUGUUUUUAACAUAAAUAUUAUAAAAGAGAAAAUGUUAAAGAAAUAUACUUAAUCAAAACAAUGUUUUUGCUAAUUUGUUAUCGUAUGGCAAUGAUGAAACUGAAGCUUUAAUAAAAGAUUUUUUGUCUGUAUUCUAGAAGUUAAGAAUAUGUAAGUUUUUAGAAUAAGAUAUUUAUAGAAGAUAUUUUUAUGCUUUAUUAUUUUAUGAAUAUAGUAUUUGUUUGAAACAA